rnacentral:rRNA from 1 species
GAGUUUGAUCGUGGCUCAGAACGAACGCUGGCGGCAGGCUUAACACAUGCAAGUCGAACGGACGUAGCAAUACGUUAGUGGCGCACGGGUGAGUAACGCGUGGAUAUCUGCCUUUUGGUUCGGGAUAACCUUGGGAAACUAGGGCUAAUACCGAAUGGUUCCUACGGGAUAAAGAUUUAUCGCCAAAAGAUGAGUCCGCGUCCGAUUAGCUAGUUGGCGGGGUAACGGCCCACCAAGGCGACGAUCGGUAGCUGGUCUGAGAGGACGAUCAGCCACACUGGGACUGAGAUACGGCCCAGACUCCUACGGGAGGCAGCAGUGGGGAAUAUUGGACAAUGGGGGCAACCCUGAUCCAGCAAUGCCGCGUGAGUGAUGAAGGCCUUAGGGUUGUAAAGCUCUUUUGGCGGGGACGAUGAUGACGGUACCCGCAGAAUAAGCCCCGGCUAACUUCGUGCCAGCCGCCGCCGUAAC